ensembl:lncRNA
UAUGUAUUAUAUGAUAUAGAUAUCCAUGCAUCAUUUGAUAUUAUUUAGAUAUACAGCUCCAGGACUGUAACGCAAUUUUCGUACACUUCCUUGUUAUUUGGAUAACCGUUCUGCUGUUGGUGUUAUGGCGCGUAACACGUCAGACUCUCAUCUCUGGUGUUUCCACAACGAGACUCGUAGUGGGGGUUAUCUCAGCCAUGGUUGAGAAUGAAUUGGGGGGAAGGAACUUUGGGUUUGACUCCCUGAAGUACAUGAACCACGACAUGAAGGAGAAAGGGAUUGUUCGCCGUGAAUGUCUCCCGCUUGAGCGCAGCUUACCGCUGCCGAGGCGCCGGUGGUCCCUUGGCAGCGAGGCUCCGGCGGGAGACAAGCGCGGUCGACAAUCGCGGGCAACAAUGGUCUGGUCCUGGCAAUCGUCCUCCUGCAGGCGGGGUUGGUUGGAGAGCUCCCGCUCCGUCUGUUCCGCCACGUGGAGAGCCACAUCGAGGGUCGGGGGCGUGGUGAGGUGGACGUGCUGCCCCAGCCACGGAGGAGCAGUGUCGGCAGUCCCUGAAAGGAAGGCAUGCAGGGCUAGCUCAUCCCUAAUCGCAGCAGGGAAGCCUGGAUAACAGCUGCAAGUCCGCCAACCGUUCCCCCUCCCGGCGGCGGCGUCUGGUUAGCAGCUCGCGGCUGUGGCUGCCGAUGGCCCGCUGCCCCGAAACGCCUCUCCAAGGCCCGGGUCAGGGCCCCGAGGUCCAGUUUGUCCGCUGGGGCAAAUUCCAGGAGCGCUUGCACCGCUGUUCCCUCCAGCACUAGGGGCGAGGUGGACGACCGCCAACCCGGCACCCCGGCCGUUUUGCCACUCAGCGAGCCGGAACUGUGCCAGGUACGGCUCCAGCUGCGUUGUCCUGCGCUCCCCUAGCGCAGGGUGCGUCGGCGUCAGUUGGGGCCUCCAUGGGCUCGACCGUGAGGCUCAAGUCCCUCUCCGCGUGAGCAGGAGAUCCCACUUCUGACACCAAUGUGGCGAGUGUAGUGAUAUGCGUAG